rnacentral:rRNA from 1 species
UGCGUAGGUGGUUAAUUAAGUCAGCGGUGAAAGUUUGUGGCUCAACCAUAAAAUUGCCGUUGAAACUGGUUGACUUGAGUAUAUUUGAGGUAGGCGGAAUGCGUGGUGUAGCGGUGAAAUGCAUAGAUAUCACGCAGAACUCCGAUUGCGAAGGCAGCAUACCGGCGCCCUACUGACGCUGAGGCACGAAAGCGUGGGUAUCGAACAGG